GGGAUCGGAGAUCCCGACAGAAGUGUUGAAUGAUGAUAAACUGAUAAAUGAAGCGUUGAAUGACGAUAAACUGAUGGAUGAAGUGUUGAAUGACAAUAAACUGAUGGAUGAAGCGUUGAAAGACGAUAAACUGAAGGGUGAAGCGUUGAAUGACGAUAAAGUGAUGAUAAACACUUCAUCCACGGUUACCUAACCCUUCGAACACAGUUCAGUGCACUAACCCCUGGGUGCCAACAAAUCGUGUUUGGCGCCCAGCGCCAAAGGUGGAGAUGGGGACCUCCAGCCACAACGACGUGGACCUCAGCUGGAUCCCUCAGGAGACCCUCAACCAGAUCAUGCAGAGUCGCAGAGACAAAGCGUCUCCCAGAAGAUCUCCUCGCAAGAGG